rnacentral:rRNA from 1 species
GAUGAACGCUGGCGGCGUGCCUAAUACAUACAAGUCGAGCGAACAGAAAAGGAGCUUGCUCCUUUGACGUUAGCGGCGGACGGGUGAGUAACACGUGGGCAACCUACCCUAUAGUUUGGGAUAACUCCGGGAAACCGGGGCUAAUACCGAAUAAUCUCUUUUGCUUCAUGGUAAAAGACUGAAAGACGGUUUCGGCUGUCGCUAUAGGAUGGGCCCGCGGCGCAUUAGGUAGUUGGUGAGGUAACGGCUCACCAAGGCGACGAUGCGUAGCCGACCUGAGAGGGUAAUCGGCCACACUGGGACUGAGACACGGCCCAGACUCCUACGGGAGGCAGCAGUAGGGAAUCUUCCACAAUGGGCGAAAGCCUGAUGGAGCAACGCCGCGUGAGUGAAGGAGGUUUUCGGAUCGCAAAACUCUGUUGUAAGGGAAGAACAAGUACAGUAGUAACUGGCUGUACCUUGACGGUACCUUAUUAGAAAGCCACGGCUAACUACGUGCCAGCCGCCGCCGUAA